UUGAAAGGGAAACGAUUGAAGUCAGUCGUACCAGCGGGAAAUCAACCUUUCGAGUGGGGUUUUGGAGUUUUGAAGAGUGUCAAAACCUUCGAGAUUUCNAAAUUUUCGCUCCUUUGGUGUACUUUCUCGUGGGUAGGUUAACAUCGAUUUCGAUCAUCAUAAAAGGAUUGGAGGAAUGUAGCUUCGAUCUUGUAUUGAAGUGUUAUAGCCUUUGGUAAAUGUGAUGAUUGGGAUCGAGGAUUGCAACGAAUACCCUUUUGGGCUAUCCGCCUGAUCUCUGAUACGUGGCCUUGGCAUCGAAAGCUUGCUUAUGGUAUCAAGGUAUUACGGUCAAAAGGUUAGAACGGAUUACAUUCGUUAAGGAUGUUGACGUA
rnacentral:rRNA from 1 species